AACGAACGCUGGCGGCAUGCCUGACACAUGCAAGUCGAACGAGACCUUCGGGUCUAGUGGCGCACGGGUGCGUAACGCGUGGGAACCUGCCCUUAGGUUCGGAAUAACUCUCCGAAAGGGGUGCUAAUACCGGAUAAUGUCUUCGGACCAAAGAUUUAUCGCCUUUGGAUGGGCCCGCGUUGAAUUAGCUAGUUGGUAGGGUAAAAGCCUACCAAGGCGACGAUCCAUAGCUGGUCAGAGGGGAUGAUCAGCCACACUGGGACUGAGACACGGCCCAGACUCCUACGGGAGGCGGCAGUGGGGAAUAGUGGACAGUGGGCGAAAGCCUGAUCCAGCAAUGCCGCGUGAGUGAUGAAGGCCUGAGGGUUGUAAAGCUCUUUUACCCAGGAUGAUAAUGACAGUACCGGGAGAAUAAGCUCCGGCUAACUCCGUG
rnacentral:rRNA from 1 species